rnacentral:rRNA from 1 species
AUUGAACGCUGGCGGAAUGCUUUACACAUGCAAGUCGAACGGCAGCACGGGGGCAACCCUGGUGGCGAGUGGCGAACGGGUGAGUAAUAUAUCGGAACGUGCCCAGGCGUGGGGGAUAACGUAGCGAAAGUUACGCUAAUACCGCAUACGAUCUACGGAUGAAAGCGGGGGAUCGCAAGACCUCGCGCGAUUGGAGCGGCCGAUAUCAGAUUAGGUAGUUGGUGGGGUAAAGGCUCACCAAGCCAACGAUCUGUAGCUGGUAUGAGAGGACGACCAGCCACACUGGGACUGAGACACGGCCCAGACUCCUACGGGAGGCAGCAGUGGGGAAUUUUGGACAAUGGGCGCAAGCCUGAUCCAGCCAUUCCGCGUGCAGGACGAAGGCCUUCGGGUUGUAAACUGCUUUUGUACGGAACGAAAAAGCCUUGGCUAAUACCCAGGGUCCAUGACGGUACCGUAAGAAUAAGCACCGGCUAACUACGUGCCAGCCGCCGCCGUAA